rnacentral:rRNA from 1 species
AUUGAACGCUGGCGGCAUGCCUUGCACAUGCAAGUCGAACGGCAGCACGGGUGCUUGCACCUGGUGGCGAGUGGUGAACGGGUGAGUAAUACAUCGGAACGUACCUUAUCGUGGGGGAUAACGCAGCGAAAGCUGUGCUAAUACCGCAUACGCCCUGAGGGGGAAAGCGGGGGAUCGAAAGACCUCGCGCGAUUAGAGCGGCCGAUGCCUGAUUAGCUUGUUGGUGGGGUAAAAGCCCACCAAGGCGACGAUCAGUAGCUGGUCUGAGAGGACGAUCAGCCACACUGGGACUGAGACACGGCCCAGACUCCUACGGGAGGCAGCAGUGGGGAAUUUUGGAAAAUGGGGGCAACCCUGAUCCAGCAAUGCCGCGUGAGUGAAGAAGGCCUUCGGGUUGUAAAGCUCUUUUGUCAGGGAAGAAACACCGGCUCUAACACAGUCCGGGAAUGACGGUACCUGAAGAAUAAGCACCGGCUAACUACGUGCCAGCAGCCGCUGUAA